CAGAAGAAAGAAUAGGAGUGGCAGCGGGUGGAAUCCUGGUAAAAAAAACAAAACAACCAAAGAUCGAAGAUGAAAAAAAAUUUAGGAACUAUUUUUACAAUUUGCUUCACACUGGAGCUAUUUUCCUGCUUGACAUGUUGGUUGCUGCACAGAGACAUCGGCUGUUACAAAAUUUGUCCCAGGCCCUUGGACCAGUGGGAGCAUCUGGAGCAAUGCAGGCUUACCCUCAGUGGAGUUGAUGAAAACAUUUAAACAAACUGGACACGAACAAGUCUGUGGGACCCAGUGGGCUGCAUCCACAAGUGCUGAGGGAGGUGGCAGAUGUCAUGGCAAGACCAGUCUCAUGUAUCUUUGAAAAGUCACCGCGACGAGGACUAGAAAUCCAAUGAAAUUCAAUGCAGAUGCCAUAUCUUGCUUCAAGGAGAAGAGGGAGGACAGUCAGCCUUGUCUGAAUACCCAGAGAGGCAUUGGAGCAAAUCAUUCUGGAAACUAUUUCAAAAUAUACUAAUGACAUUGAGAUGAUCAGUAUGGAUACAUGAACGGAAAAAUUAUGCCUGAUCAACCUGUGAUUAAAUGUCUAGCUUGGUGGAUGAGGAGAGAGCAGAGGAUGUUAAUCAUCUUCAGAAAGGCUUUCAUCACUGGCUGUAUCCUCAUUAACCAACUGCUGACUAGAUAAGGAGAUAGUGAAGUAGAUUGAAAACAGGCUGAAAUGCCAGGCUCAAGAGAUUAUAAUCAGUGAUGCAAAAUCCAUCUGGAGGCCAGUCACUAAUGGUGUACUCUUGAGGUCAAUACUGGGGCCAAUACUGCUGAACACCCUCAUUAAUGAUCCUGGAUGAUAGAACAAGUGCAUCCUCAGCAAGUUUGCAGACACUUGAUGACUGGGAGGAGGGCUGAUAGACCAGAUGGUUAUGCUGCCAUUCAGAAGGAUCUCGGCAAGCUGGAUGGGUCAGCUGAGAGGAAUCUCAUGGAAUUUAACAAAAGGAAAUGCCAAAUCCUGCACCCGUUGAAUAAUGUCACCACACAUAUUACUAGGGGCUGAGGACCAGCUGGCUGGGAAGUGGCUUUACAGGAAAGAAUCUGGGAGUCCUGGUCAACACCAGCUUGAACAUGGCCAGCAGUGUGCUGUGUCCUUGUGGCACAGCUGGCCAACCAUAUCCUGACCUGCAUUAGGAGCAUUGCCAGUGGGUUCAGGCAGGUGAUAAUUUCCCCCUACUUGGCAUUAAGACACAUCUGGAGUGCUAGAUCUGGUUCUGGAGUUCCUAGUGUAGGAAAAAUACAGUUUUACCGGACUGAGUGCAGCAAAGAGCCACAAAGAUGAUUAUGGGACUGAAGCGCUUGUCAUAUAAGGAGUGGCUGAGAGCUGGAGGAGAGAAGCCUCAGGGAGAACUUAUCAAUAUAUCUAAAUAUCUAAAAUCAGGGAGAGUAAAGAAAAUGAAGUAAGACUCUUCUCAGUUGCAUUCAGUGAAGGAACAAAAGGCAACAGGCACAAAGUGAUCCAUAGGAUUUUUUUUAUUUUACUAUUGCAGCCAUCAGAGAGCUGUCCAGAGACAAUGUGGAGUCCUCAUCCAUGGAGAUAUUCCAAAUGGAAAUGGAACCAACCCAGGGCAAUCUGCUCUAGUUGACUCUGCUCUAAGCAAGAGGGUGCACUAAAUGAUCUCUGCAAAUCCUGUGAUUCCUUAACUUAAGUACUUUAAUUCAUUUCAACAGCUGAGUAUUUCUUCCAGGUUCACUGUUUAUAAAGACGUUUCUGAUGCUUCCAAAGUUUUGCAUGCUGAUGGGACUUAAACUGUGGGCCACAGGUUCUUGCUGGGGCAUUUAAAUACUGCCUGUGAUAGAUCCAGCCCAGUCUAUUCUGCAUGGCCAAACUGUUUCAGUUUGAAAUACAAGCAAACCUAUAGAAACUUAUGGACUUCAUAGAAUGAAGUGCCACUGCUUAAUAGAAUAUAUAAAAAAAUAGAUGGCUUACUACCAUAGUACUUAGUAUUAUGGGCAUAUUAUUGCCUCCAAGAAAGAACAAGAAAUGUAGAUGCACUCAUUAAAGUAACAGGACUAUUUAGGUAACCAUCAAUUAAACAGAUCACUAACUAGAAAUCUACACAACUUCAUAACUAUAACCUCUUGUUUGGUUUUGGUUGUUUUGAAGUUUGGGGGGUUUUUUGUAAUUUUGUGAUUUAUUUGGGUAUAUUGAGAAUUAAGACAUACAUUUCAAAGAGGGAUAAUAGUACUGUUUAGGUAUUUUACUGAAUAUACAGUGUUGCUGUAUUUUUAUUUUUUCUCUUUUUAACAUUUAAAAAUAUAACUACAGUUACUCAUGCAGCAUUGUCAAGUAUAUCUUCCAGAAGCUACCAUAAAGAGCAGCAUUACUCCUUGACAGCCUCAGGAAAGGAAAGAGAGUGGGCUUUGCUUUUUCAGAGCCAGGAGCAGGUUCAGCUUGGACACAAGGUAUGAUCUCUACAACAGAAAUAUGUCACACACAGGCGUGAUCUCUGAAGUGACCAGAUCCUGAAGCCUUAAUAGCUUAAAAUCUACUCUGGAGUUUUGCCUAGAGGCUUAGUACUGGUUGGUCUGUGUGCAGAGCACUGCAGACCUGAUCCAUAAGGGAUCUGUGCUGCUCUCUACUAUCUUCACCUUUCUCACUCUCCCUCUCGCGUUCUGUGUCAAGCACAUGAAACCAGCUCACCAGCAGCACUGGUGCAGUGAUGACAGCCUGAUAGCAACACCCUCUGAGUCUCUCCCUGAUUCACCCAUGGUGCCAAGCACAGAUAGAAGUCCUAUAAACUCAUUUAUAUGCACUGUCCACCCACAAACUUAUCUCAAGUUGUGUGAGUGUUGAGUCACAGACAGGUAGUUCUUGUUCAAGUCCCAGCUGCCUGUAAGCUGUGGGUAAAAACAAAAGCUAUUUCAGUCUCACAGAAAUAAUGACUAAGGUACAAAUAAUUUCCUUACAACAAAGGCCCCUUAAAUCAACAGAAAAAUGCAAAAAGCAAGUUCUUGUGAGGAGGACCUGCUGAUUUGUUCACCCAGCAGGAGCUUUUAUCCAGAUAAAGAAAUAACUGGUGGACCAUAGCAACCAGAUCACUCUUGUCUAGAUGCUUACAGACUUCAUAAAAAGCCUGUCUAGAGUCCUAGAUGGUAAAUACUACAUUUAGAGAAGAUGCACUGGCACUGCCCAAAUAGAUCAUGCUUAUCCAGGUGCACUUGAAUUCUAUUCUGUAUUGCAGUUUCUACUGCUUUGCCUGCUACUGACGUUAGGCUUGCAGCCUUUAUUAUUUUCCAUCAUUUACCCUCUGGAAUAUUUUUUAGAUAAUAGUGUCACAUUGCUACUCUCCAGACCCCAGGCACACAGAAGUGUGAAGAAAAAGGUAGGUCCAGUAGUAGGCUUUUGCUCAGUGCUCAACACUGCCUUAAAAAAACUGAGGUGUCUGCAGAUCUGUUACUCAGCCUAGUUUGGUUUACAGCCUGUCCCAGUUAGCACACGUUCAGGAAGAGUCUCUGCUGACUCUCAAAAAGAAGGGCUCAAUAUGGGGAUCAUUGACUUAUUCCAGUGAACAUAUGCAAAUAGAUUAAUUAGCUUCUCUGGAACUUUUUGGCAUCUCCUCUUUUUUUACUCUGUAAUUGUCCUUUGAUUUGUCAGACUCCAGUGGGCUUUUAUUUAAUAUUAGUCUGGAUUUAUUUUGUGAGUUGCUGCUCACAUUUUUUUAUUGUUCUUUCACUUCCAUUAACAUGAUGGUUUACAAUCCUGUGGUUUUGCAUCUGGAGAAGACUCAAACUUCUGAUUUCUAAUAAUCUACCCUGUGGUGAGGUUAUUGUGCCCGCUUCCUUUUGCCAGUUCUCAAGACUUUAGUAGAUGGCAUACACUGCUGCUGUGCUGUGCAUCCUUCAGGAAGUUCAGCUCCACUGGUAAGAAUUUGCUGUUCCUAGCAGCUACCUUUUGUUUCCUCUUCACAAGCUGUCUCAUUGCUAUGUCUCUCUCCCUUUUGAAACUGGGUGCAAUUGCUGUAAAUGUUUGGCUUUUGUCAAGCCUCUGGGAAUUCUGAAUGUAAACACAGGAACAGAAAGCAUGAGCUGAAGGUGUAGGUCCAGCUCUUGUACAUAAAUGAGGACAAAAUGAGGGGCUGCGUCUAUUCUGUGGUUUCCCUAUCCCACUGCUCUGUGAAACAGUAUUGGUGGACUCUAAAGUAGUUUGUGUUACAUAACAAUGCUGCAGUGUCCAGACAACACGGAGCUUGCCUGAAGUGCAGUGCUGGUUGUAUUUCCCACACUCUUGGCCCAUCUGAUCAUUCUCAGCAUGUUGUCUCUGUCCUUCUGGUCAGGCAGGCAAGCAGCAGACUCAGGACUACAUAUGCUUAAAGCUGACAUUUUGGUGCACUGGCUUUCUGUGCCACCUGCUGGGUUCCUGUUUUGUUUACUUGAUCUGACUAUAAGACCUCAUUAAUAAAUUUCAUUUUCCCAUUA